GACGAACGCUGGCGGCGUGCUUAACACAUGCAAGUCGAGCGGAAAGACCCGGCGUUUGUUGGGUGCCCGAGUGGCGAACGGGGGAGUAACACGUGAGGAACCUGCCCUUGACAUUGUGGUAACAUCAGGGAACUGCGGCGAAUACCGGGUAGGAUCUCCUGCUGCGUGGGGUGGGUUGGAAAGUGUCGGCGGUGGGGGCUGGACUCGCGGCUUAUCAGCUGGUUGGGCGGGUAGGUGCUGACCAAGUGUUUGACGGGUAGCCGGCCUGAGAGGGUGAACGGCCACCUUGGGCCUGCGAUACGGACCAGAAUCGUACCGGCGGCAGUAGUGGGGAACCUUGCACAACGGGCGGACGUCUGAUGUAGCAACGCUGCGUGCGGGAUGCUGUCCUUCGGGUUGUAAACCGAUUUCGAAGGUGCUGAAGACUGAUUGACGGUAAUGGGUAAAGAAGCCCCGGCUAACUACGUG
rnacentral:rRNA from 1 species